rnacentral:rRNA from 1 species
GACGAACGCUGGCGGCGUGCCUAAUACAUGCAAGUAGAACGCUGAAGGAGGAGCUUGCUUCUCUGGAUGAGUUGCGAACGGGUGAGUAACGCGUAGGUAACCUGCCUGGUAGCGGGGGAUAACUCUUGGAAACGAUAGCUAAUACCGCAUAAUAGUAGUUGUUGCAUGACAUUUGCUUAAAAGGUGCAAUUGCAUCACUACCAGAUGGACCUGCGUUGUAUUAGCUAGUUGGUGAGGUAACGGCUCACCAAGGCAACGAUACAUAGCCGGCCUGAGAGGGGGAUCGGCCACACUGGGACUGAGACACGGCCCAGACUCCUACGGGAGGGAGCAGUAGGGAAACUUCGGCAAUGGACGGAAGUCUGACCGAGCAAAGCCGCGUGAGUGAAGAAGGUUUUCGGAUCGGAAAGCUCUGUUGUAAGAGAAGAACGAGUGUGAGAAUGGAAAGUGCACACUGUGACGGUAUCUUACCAGAAAGGGACGGCUAACUACGUG